rnacentral:rRNA from 1 species
GACGAACGCUGGCGGCGUGCUUAACACAUGCAAGUCGAACGGAAAGGCUCCAGCUUGCUGGAGUACUCGAGUGGCGAACGGGUGAGUAACACGUGGGUGAUCUGCCCUGCACUUCGGGAUAAGCCUGGGAAACUGGGUCUAAUACCGGAUAGGACCGCACUUUGGUGUGUGUGCUGGAAAGGAUUUUCUGGUGUGGGAUGAGCUCGCGUCCUAUCGGUUUGUUGGUGGGGUAAUGGCAUACCAAGACGGCGACGGGUAGCCGGCCUGAGGAGGUGGACGGUGGCACUGAGUCUGAGAUGAGGCACAGAUUCCGACGGGUGGCAACAGUGGGGAAUAUUGAACAAUGGGGGAAGCCCGAGUGCAGAGGGGCCUCGUGGGGGAUGACGGUCUUCUGAUUGUAGAAUCCUUUCGCUAGGGACGAAGCUUUUUGUGACGGUACCUGGAGAAGAAGCACCGGCUAACUACGUG